GACGUACCGGGCUUUGUGAAUCCCAGACUGAAGUUUGGUUGAGUCACGGGAGGGAGGUACCGUCGGGGACCUGCCAGGGAGCAGUGAGUCCUGCUCUCUAGGCAGCACUGAGCCGGGGCAAAGCUGCAAGCAAGUGGUCAUGGACCGUGCAGCACUGAUGGCACGUAGCACAGACUCUUCAAGACCCAUGUAUUGGCAAGGAACCAACAAUACUUCCCGAGAGCAAGAUGCACACUGCAUCUUCACGAGGAACCCGCUGUCCUUCUUGCAAAUCUCCCUUCCUAAAGCCAUCCUUAGACCUUCUCUACACCUGCCCUUCACGUCCAGGACACGGGCCGCAGAGCUGGAACCCUGCUACACACAGCCUUCCCAGCAACCACGAAGGAGGCUCAGCGCAAAGGUUGGUGGCUGAAUGAGCAUGUUUCUGCUUAUUCUAAGACCGAGCAGGGGGUGGAGCAGGGAGGAGAAGAAAAAAUGACAGCUACAAGCCAGACAGAUACUGAACAUGUAAAACCAAGGGGACAGAUGGCUCAAAAGGGAUCUAAUUUCCCUGGUUUUCCUGCUGUAAAAAUAAAUCACCACUAAAAAAAAAAAAUAUUCAAGUGAUAUCAUAUAGUUAAGUCUUGUAAUAAAUUUUUGGCUCUUAUUCCCCAAAUCCUUCCUUAGUUCGCUAAAUCUGCUGAAGUCACCAGGAUUUCUCAAAUGAGAAACGGCGUGCAGGGAUAGGACAUUUAUUACCUACCUUUCAAACAAUGAGAUAAAGCAGUUGGUAUUCUCUUUCAAUGCAUGAGAGGGCUCCUACCGAGGCUUCAUCGGUAUCAUCUGAGAGGUAGGAGAUUUUAAUACUCCCAUCAGAUAUAAAAGAUGAAGGCAAGCUAAGAACAUACCCAUAAUAGGAAUGCAAAAAUUCCUGCAGAUUUUGCCACAGGGAAAUUAGUUUGCUUCAGGGGUAUAAAGCUCUUGAACCAAAUCAGAG